GCUGGGUGUGGUGACACACUCCUGUAAUCCCAGUGGCUUGGGAGGCUGAGACAGGAGGAUUUUGAGUUCAAAGCCAGUCUCAGCAAUGGUGAGGCCCUAAGCAACUCAGUGAGACCCUGUCUCUA
rnacentral:sRNA from 1 species